UACGUAGGGUGCAAGCGUUAAUCGGAAUUACUGGGCGUAAAGCGUGCGCAGGCGGUUAUGUAAGACAGAUGUGAAAUGCCCGGGCUUAACCUGGGAACUGCAUUUGUGACUGCAUGGCUAGAGUUUGGCAGAGGGGGGUAGAAUUCCACGUGUAGCAGUGAAAUGCGUAGAUAUGUGGAGGAACACCGAUGGCGAAGGCAGCCCCCUGGGUCAAGACUGACACUCAUGCACGAAAGCGUGGGGAGCAAACAGG
rnacentral:rRNA from 1 species